CGUAGGAUAAAAAGGCUGCUACUAUAAGUGCAAACCAUUUACUCUAGAUUUUUCUUAUAAUUAUCAUAUCACAUAUCCAGCAAUCUACAUAAUGUAUAGUCAUAUGUAUAUUCAUAAUUGAAACCUUUUGUGCACCAUUUUUGCGCUUUCAUGCCACUGGUUACACAGCUUUACAGAGGGACUUUUAAGUUGAAGUGCUGAAACUCACCCAUGAAGCAAGACAUAGGGGAUCUAGAUAAGGUGAAAACUUGAUCUUCCAAGAUAAUUUAGAUAACUCAGAAGCAGUCUGUGGGGAUUUACUGAUGUAAAAUUUGUUUUGGACUAAAUAUUUCACAUAAUUGGAUUGGUUGGACCUUUUCCCAGUGUAACAAGACUGUCUUUUUGGGAUGUUAUGGAUCAGUGGGUUACUAUGAAGCUUCAAGGGGCAGUGCUCUUGGACCUCAAGGCUAUGCUUGGACAAAGGAAGAAGCUUUGUUAGUGAAAAACUUUCUGCCAAAGUCCUGGAUGAGAUGUGUAAGAAGCCUAACAUUGUUUGGAAAUCGUUACAAGCUCCAUCAUACAGCACUAUACAGCUCUCGCCAGCAGAAUGGUAAAAAAGGCUUGAAAGCUGCGGUGGUGUGUAAGUCUAGACUCUGAACUGAAAGCUGCUGGCUGCUCCUUUUCACACCCCAGACAUAAUGAAGAAAAAAAAAAACAGAAAAACUUCCAAUUAAAAAGAUGCUGAAAUACCUAAUGAUAAAGCUCUAGUAUACUGAAUAGCCUCUUGGUUCCCUCUCAUAAAAAGAAAUAAUCAGAAUGACUUGCCAUGAAAUGAAACUCCUCUGAAUCGUAUCUCCUCAUUUGUGUGAGAUGAAAUGAGUUUGUGGUAAAUCACUGAAAUAAAGUAGUUAUCCAA